CCCUUAGAUGUUCUGGGCCGCACGCGCGCUACACUGAUGCAUUCAACGAGUCUAAAACCUGCUCUGAUAGGGGUGGGUAAUCUUUUGAAUGUGCAUCGUGAUUGGGAUAGAUGAUUGCAAUUUUUCAUCUUCAACGAGGAAUGCCUAGUAAACGCAAGUCAUCAGCUUGCAUUGAUUACGUCCCUGCCCUUUGUACACACCGCCCGUCGCUCCUACCGAUUGAAUGAUCCGAUGAAUAUCAUGGAUUGAGGAUGCAAGUAGGUUAGCAUAUCUUCAUCUUCGAGAAGUGAAGUAAAUCUUAUCAUUUAGAGGAAGGAGAAGUCGUAACA
rnacentral:rRNA from 1 species